GAUGGACGCUGGCGGCGUGCUUAACACAUGCAAGUCGAACGAAGCACUUUAUUUGAUUUCCUUCGGGACUGAUUAUUUUGUGACUGAGUGGCGGACGGGUGAGUAACGCGUGGGUAACCUGCCUUGUACAGGGGGAUAACAGUUGGAAACGGCUGCUAAUACCGCAUAAGCGCACAGCAUCGCAUGAUGCAGUGUGAAAAACUCCGGUGGUAUAAGAUGGACCCGCGUUGGAUUAGCUAGUUGGUGAGGUAACGGCCCACCAAGGCGACGAUCCAUAGCCGACCUGAGAGGGUGACCGGCCACAUUGGGACUGAGACACGGCCCAAACUCCUACGGGAGGCAGCAGUGGGGAAUAUUGCACAAUGGGCGAAAGCCUGAUGCAGCGACGCCGCGUGAGCGAAGAAGUAUUUCGGUAUGUAAAGCUCUAUCAGCAGGGAAGAUAAUGACGGUACCUGACGAAGAAGCACCGGCUAAAUACGUG
rnacentral:rRNA from 1 species